GGCGAACGCUGGCGGCGUGCCUAAUACAUGCAAGUCGAGCGGACCGGAUUGGGGCUUGCCUUGAUUCGGUCAGCGGCGGACGGGUGAGUAACACGUGGGCAACCUGCCCGCAAGACCGGGAUAACUCCGGGAAACCGGAGCUAAUACCGGAUAACACCGAAGACCGCAUGGUCUUCGGUUGAAAGGCGGCCUUUGGGCUGUCACUUGCGGAUGGGCCCGCGGCGCAUUAGCUAGUUGGUGAGGUAACGGCUCACCAAGGCGACGAUGCGUAGCCGGCCUGGGAGGGUGACCGGCCACACUGGGACUGAGACACGGCCCAGACUCCUACGGGAGGCAGCAGUAGGGAAUCUUCCGCAAUGGGCGAAAGCCUGACGGAGCGACGCCGCGUGAGCGAAGAAGGCCUUCGGGUCGUAAAGAUCUGUUGUGAGGGACGAAGGAGCGUCGUUCGAAGAGGGCGGCGCGGUGACGGUACCUCACGAGAAAGCCCCGGCUAACUACGUG
rnacentral:rRNA from 1 species